AUUGAACGCUGGCGGCAGGCCUAACACAUGCAAGUCGAACGGUAACAGGAAGAAGCUUGCUUCUUUGCUGACGAAUGGCGGACGGGUGAGUAAUGUCUGGGAAACUGCCUGAUGGAGGGGGAUAACUACUGGAAACGGUAGCUAAUACCGCAUAACGUCGCAAGACCAAAGAGGGGGACCUUCGGGCCUCUUGCCAUCGGAUGUGCCCAGAUGGGAUUAGCUAGUAGGUGGGGUAACGGCUCACCUAGGCGACGAUCCCUAGCUGGUCUGAGAGGAUGACCAGCCACACUGGAACUGAGACACGGUCCAGACUCCUACGGGAGGCAGCAGUGGGGAAUAUUGCACAAUGGGCGCAAGCCUGAUGCAGCCAUGCCGCGUGUAUGAAGAAGGCCUUCGGGUUGUAAAGUACUUUCAGCGGGGAGGAAGGGAGUAAAGUUAAUACCUUUGCUCAUUGACGUUACCCGCAGAAGAAGCACCGGCUAACUCCGUG
rnacentral:rRNA from 1 species